rnacentral:misc_RNA from 1 species
AACGCAUCUUGCGCUCCUUGGUAUUCUGAGGAGCAUGCCUGUUUGAGUGUCAUGAAUCUCUCAACUACAUCAAUCUUUCUGAUUUGGUGUGGCUUUUGGAUGUGGGGGUCUUCUUUUGCUGGCUUCUAUUAAAUGAGGUCAGCUCCCCUGAAAUUUAUUAGUGGUAUCUGAGCAGAGAGACCUACUACAGGUGUGAUAAAUUAUCUACACCUUGGUAAUGCUGCAUGAACAGAUUGUGCUGCUUCUAGUGAAUUAUUUGACAAAUUUGACCUCAAAUCAGGUAGGACUACCCGCUGAACUUAA